rnacentral:misc_RNA from 1 species
AUUGUGAAAUUUAUGUCUCGGCCUGUAAGAUCCACCCACCUCUUCCUCUCUUCUUCGUCAAGAUUCAUGAGAUUGGGUGACCUCACAAUUUCUAUACCAUGAAUACAUUGAGGAUUAGAGAGACCCCUGUAAUGCUUCCUCUGCAUCCUGUGAGACCGAACAAAACCCUUAUCAACAAUGAAUGGAAAUGGGCGCUCCCCUUGACGAGAGUGCCCAUUCAUGUAACUCCUCAACUGCAUCUUACCCAAGGCAUUUUCCGGCCUUUCCUUGAAAACCCACAUAUACAUGUUCUCCAUGUCAUGCUGAACCAAGAAAGCAUCAAGCUGCAAAUCUGAUUUCUCAUACCCAGACACACCAUUAUUGUCCCUAAUUACCUUGCUCUUUGAUUUCUCAUGCAGAACAGGCUUGAAAUAGAAACUGAAGAAAAACCAGGCACCCCAAAUGCUAUCAAGCCGUUUUGUGCAUUUCUUUGCUGCUUUUGGGACAUUAACGAAUGUCUCAACCUCAUAAGUUUGAGGUGCAAGACCAACAUCUAAGAUGUCACAUGGUUCAUUCCAUGCCAGGGAAGGAGGUGGGC